rnacentral:misc_RNA from 1 species
AACUUUUGACAAUGGAUCACUUGGUUCUGGCAUCGAUGAAGAACGCAGCGAAAUGCGAUAAGUAAUGUGAAUUGCAGCAUUCAGUGAAUCAUCGAAUCUUUGAACGCACAUUGCGCCCCUCGGUAUUCCGAGGGGCAUACCUGUUCGAGCGUCAUUGCACCCCUCAAGCGUAGCUUGGUCUUGGGUCCUCGUCCCCUGGGCGUACCCGAAAAGCAUUGGCGGUCCGGUGUGACUUUAAGCGUAGUAAAUAUCCCCCGCUUUGAAAGCUUGCCCCGUGGCCGCCAGACAACCCUGAAAUAUAUUAUCAACGAUUGACCUCGGAUCAGGUAGGGAUACCCGCUGAACUUAAGCAUAUCAAUAAGCGGAGGCU